UACGUAGGGCGCAAGCGUUGUCCGGAAUUAUUGGGCGUAAAGAGCUCGUAGGCGGUUUGUCGCGUCUGCUGUGAAAUUUCGGGGCUCAACCCCGAACUUCGGCAGUGGGUACGGGGCAGACUAGAGUGUGGUAGGGGAGACUGGAAUUCCGUGGGUGUAGCGGUGAAAUGCGCAGAUAGUCAGGAGGAACACCGAUGGCGAAGGCAGGUCUCUGGGCCAUAACUGACGCUGAGAAGCGGAAAAGCAUGGGGAGCGAACAGG
rnacentral:rRNA from 1 species